AUUGCCUGCCCAGUGACCUUCAAGUUAAACGGCCGCGGUAUUCUGACCGUGCAAAGGUAGCAUAAUCAUUUGUUCCCCAAUUAGGGACUAGUAUGAAUGGCUAGACGAGGAUUCAACUGUCUCUUAUUCCCAAUCAGUGAAAUUGACCUUCCAGUGAAGAGGCUGGAAUAAAACAAUAAGACGAGAAGACCCUAUGGAGCUUUAAUUAACUAACUUAAUUAUAACACUCAUACCCUAAUGGAACAAAACAAUAAACAUUAAGCUAAAAAUUUCGGUUGGGGUGACCUCGGAGAACAAAAAAUCCUCCGAAUGAUUAUAGCACAGACAAACAAGUCAAAGCAAUCCAAUAUAUCUAAUUGACCCAAAAAUACUUUGACCAACGGACCAAGUUACCCUAGGGAUAACAGCGCAAUCCUAUUUAAGAGUCCAUAUCGACAAUUAGGGUUUACGACCUCGAUGUUGGAUCAGGACAUCCCAAUGGUGCAGAAGCUAUUAAGGUUCGUUUG
rnacentral:rRNA from 1 species